rnacentral:snoRNA from 1 species
GGGCGAUGACGAUAGUUUCAGUGAAAGGUCUCGUUCGUCGUAAGGGCGAAUUCGCCUUGCCGACCAUCCUGAUAUUCUGAGCCC